rnacentral:lncRNA from 1 species
GUGAAGUCCUGCCAGCUCUCUCUCCCAGAUUACUCAUUUUCUUACUGCCCAGCUUUUGCCUGGGUAAGGAAUUACUGUAGUCCCCUGAAGGAAACUAGGGAAGAAUGUUAUUAUUUUUCAUAUUUAUCUUACAGGUUGUGUCCUGACCUGGAGUUGAAGGGAGGCAACCGCAGAUGGAAAUCUUGUCUGAAAUCUAUUCUCCAUGUUGUCAAGGGCUGGUAAUGGGCUCAGUCUACCCGGACAUGGGGCUGCAUCAUCCCAGUACUCAAUCCAGAGGGAAGGGUGUCUAUUUGGUGAUCAAGACACCAUGGGGGUGUUAUGGUUUGGAUCUGAAAUGUUGCCCAAAGACUCAUGUGUUGAGGGCUAGUUCCCCAAUGCAUUUGGGGAAGUGAAUGGAUUAUGAGGUUCUGAUCUCAUCAAUGCAUGAAUCCAUUGAUAGGUUCACAGUUUAAGGGACUACUGGAAGAUUCUGGAAACUUUAGGAGGUGGGACCUGGCUGAAGGACACAGGUGUCACUAGUCGGGUGCCUUUGAAGGGCAUAUUUUGUCCUUGCCCCUUCUUCCCAGCCAACAUCCUUCUCUGCCCCAUGUUCCUAGUCAUGAUGUUCUUCCUUUCCUCAGGCCCAAAGAUGGUGCUGGCUGGCCAUAGACUGAAAAAUCUGAAACUGUAAGCCAAAAUUAAUCUUUCCUUCUUUAUUUUAAUUUGUUGGGUAUUUU